ensembl:lncRNA
CCAGCGAUCCACUUCAGUUUCCGGCCAACACGGGGGCGAAAUCCCCGAGAUGUAUGACCGAGGGCUGCGGGAGAGAGACUCAGCUUCAAUGUCCCACUUGCAGGAAGCUGGGCCUCCAGGAAGCUUUCUUCUGCUCUCAGGAAUGCUUCAAGAACAGCUGGCAGGAACAUAAGAAACUCCACCGGAGAGCCCGUGCAGAGACCCAGCCCGGGACCGACAGGGUGACCUCAGAGCUCGAACCUCAGCCCCACGACGUGGGCUCACCCGCCGAGCUCCAACAAAAGGUCCAAGUCCAAGUCAAGUCUCACGUCCCUGAGAUCCAAGUCAAGUCUCACGUCCCUGAGCUCCAGGUCCAGCCGCCAGCCCCUCAGCUCCAGGUCCAGCCGCCAGCCCCUGAGCUACAGGUCCAGCCUCCAGUCCCUGAGCUCCAGGUCCAGCCUCCAGUCCCUGAGCUCCAGGUCCAGCCUCCAGUCCCUGAGCUCCAAGCCAAGCCUCCAGUCCCUGAGCUCCAAGCCAAGCCUCCAGUCCCUGAGCUCCAAGCCAAGCCUCCAGUCCCUGAGCUCCAAGCCAAGCCUCCAGUCCCUGAGCUCCAAGCCAAGCCUCCAGUCCCUGAGCUCCAAGCCAAGCCUCAAGCCCCUUAGAUCCAAGUCAAGCCUCAAGUCCCUGAGAUCCAAGUCCAAGUCAAGUCUCACCUCCCUGAGGUCCAAGCCAAGCCUCCAGUCUCUUAUGUCCAAGCCAAGCCUCCAGGCUCUGACGCCCAAGCCAAGCCUCCAGUCUCUUAUGUCCAAGCCAAGCCUCCAGGCUCUGAUGCCCAAGCCAAGCCUCCAGGCUCUGACGCACAAGCCAAGCUUCACGUCCCUGAGCUCACGUUCAAGCCUGCUGAUCCAGUUUCCCAAGCUCUGCUAAUAUCUCAGCCUAAUGACCAAAUGCUGCUCACGCCCAAGUCUACCGACCCGGUCACCCAAGUUCAGCCCACUGACACACACAGCCAAGUUCUGCUCAUGCGCCGGUCUGCCGACAGGCCCAGCCAAGUUCCGCUCACGCCACAGUCUGCUGACACGCCCAGCCAAGCUCUG